rnacentral:misc_RNA from 1 species
GAAAUGUGAUAAGUAAUGUGAAUUGCAGAAUUCAGUGAAUCAUCGAAUCUUUGAACGCACCUUGCGCUUUUUGGCAUUCCGAAAAGCAUGCCUGUUUGAGUGUCAUGAACUCUUCAACCCACCGGUUCCUUGUUGGAUCGAGUUGGUGUUUGGAUCUUGAAUGUUGCUGGCUGAAUUUGAAAUAGUCUUUCGGGACUUGAUAAUAAGCGAAGCUCGUUCGUAAUACAUUAGCAUCUCAAUUUCGAACUUCGGAUUGACUCAGCGUGAUAGACUAUUCGCUGAGGACAUGUUUCAACAUGGCCGAAUUAAGAUAACUAGAAGCUUCUAAUCCCCCACUAGUCAAAACUAUAAGAUUAGACCUCAAAUCAGGCAGGAUUACCCGCUGAACUUAA